rnacentral:rRNA from 1 species
AGAGUUUGAUCAUGGCUCAGAUUGAACGCUGGCGGCAUGCCUUACACAUGCAAGUCGAACGGCAGCACGGGGGCAACCCUGGUGGCGAGUGGCGAACGGGUGAGUAAUAUAUCGGAACAUGUCCUGUAGCGGGGGAUAACCUAUCGAAAGAUGGACUAAUACCGCAUACGAUCUAUGGAUGAAAGCGGAGGACCGCAAGGCUUCGCACUAUAGGAGUGGCCGAUAUCGGAUUAGCUAGUUGGCGGGGUAAAAGCCCACCAAGGCGACGAUCCGUAGCUGGUCUGAGAGGAUGAUCAGCCACACUGGAACUGAGACACGGUCCAGACUCCUACGGGAGGCAGCAGUGGGGAAUUUUGGACAAUGGGCGCAAGCCUGAUCCAGCCAUGCCGCGUGAGUGAAGAAGGCCUUCGGGUUGUAAAGCUCUUUCGGCAGGAACGAAAUGGUUCGUGCUAAUACCACGGACUGAUGACGGUACCUGAAGAAGAAGCACCGGCUAACUACGUGCCAGCAGCCGCGGUAAUACGUAGGGUGCAGGCGUUAAUCGGAAUUACUGGGCGUAAAGCGUGCGCAGGCGGUUUCUUAAGUCAGAUGUGAAAGCCCCGGGCUUAACCUGGGAACUGCGUUUGAAACUGGGAGACUCGAGUGUAGCAGAGGGGGGUGGAAUUCCACGUAGCAGUGAAAUGCGUAGAUAUGUGGAGGAACACCGAUGGCGAAGGCAGCCCCCUGGGUUAACACUGACGCUCAUGCACGAAAGCGUGGGGAGCAAACAGGAUUAGAUACCCUAGUAGUCC